GAUGAACGCUGGCGGCGUGCCUAAUACAUGCAAGUCGAGCGAACGGACGAGAAGCUUGCUUCUCUGAUGUUAGCGGCGGACGGGUGAGUAACACGUGGAUAACCUACCUAUAAGACUGGGAUAACUUCGGGAAACCGGAGCUAAUACCGGAUAAUAUUUUGAACCGCAUGGUUCAAAAGUGAAGGACGGUCUUGCUGUCACUUAUAGAUGGAUCCGCGCUGCAUUAGCUAGUUGGUAAGGUAACGGCUUACCAAGGCAACGAUGCAUAGCCGACCUGAGAGGGUGAUCGGCCACACUGGAACUGAGACACGGUCCAGACUCCUACGGGAGGCAGCAGUAGGGAAUCUUCCGCAAUGGGCGAAAGCCUGACGGAGCAACGCCGCGUGAGUGAUGAAGGUCUUCGGAUCGUAAAACUCUGUUAUUAGGGAAGAACAUAUGUGUAAGUAACUGUGCACAUCUUGACGGUACCUAAUCAGAAAGCCACGGCUAACUACGUGCCAGCAGCCGCGGUAAUACGUAGGUGGGCAGCGUUAUCCGGAAUUAUUGGGCGUAAAGCGCGCGUNAGCGGUUUUUUAGUCUGAUGUGAAAGCCCACGGCUCAACCGUGGAGGGUCAUUGGAAACUGGAAAACUUGAGUGCAGAAGAGGAAAGUGGAAUUCCAUGUGUAGCGGUGAAAUGCGCAGAGAUAUGGAGGAACACCAGUGGCGGAGGCGACUUUCUGGUCUGUAACUGACGCUGAUGUGCGAAAGCGUGGGGAUCAAACAGGAUUAGAUACCCUGGUAGUCCACGCCGUAAACGAUGAGUGCUAAGUGUUAGGGGGUUUCCGCCCCUUAGUGCUGCAGCUAACGCAUUAAGCACUCCGCCUGGGGAGUACGACCGCAAGGUUGAAACUCAAAGGAAUUGACGGGGACCCGCACAAGCGGUGGAGCAUGUGGUUUAAUUCGAAGCAACGCGAAGAACCUUACCAAAUCUUGACAUCCUUUGACAACUCUAGAGAUAGAGCCUUCCCCUUCGGGGGACAAAGUGACAGGUGGUGCAUGGUUGUCGUCAGCUCGUGUCGUGAGAUGUUGGGUUAAGUCCCGCAACGAGCGCAACCCUUAAGCUUAGUUGCCAUCAUUAAGUUGGGCACUCUAAGUUGACUGCCGGUGACAAACCGGAGGAAGGUGGGGAUGACGUCAAAUCAUCAUGCCCCUUAUGAUUUGGGCUACACACGUGCUACAAUGGACAAUACAAAGGGCAGCGAAACCGCGAGGUCAAGCAAAUCCCAUAAAGUUGUUCUCAGUUCGGAUUGUAGUCUGCAACUCGACUACAUGAAGCUGGAAUCGCUAGUAAUCGUAGAUCAGCAUGCUACGGUGAAUACGUUCCCGGGUCU
rnacentral:rRNA from 1 species